rnacentral:rRNA from 1 species
UACGGAGGGUGCAAGCGUUGUUCGGAAUUACUGGGCGUAAAGAGUGCGUAGGCGGUUCGGCAAGUUGGAAGUGAAAUCCCGGGGCUCAACCUCGGAAUUGCUUUCAAAACUGCCGAUCUAGAGUAUGGUAGGGGAUAGUGGAAUUCCUAGUGUAGGGGUGAAAUCCGUAGAUAUUAGGAGGAACACCAGAGGCGAAGGCGACUAUCUGGGCCAUUACUGACGCUAAGGUACGAAAGCGUGGGGAGCAAACAGG